CAGCACCGCGGUAAUACGUAGGGUGCAAGCGUUAAUCGGAAUUACUGGGCGUAAAGCGUGCGCAGGCGGUUAUAUAAGACAGAUGUGAAAUCCCCGGGCUCAACCUGGGAACUGCAUUUGUGACUGUAUAGCUAGAGUACGGCAGAGGGGGAUGGAAUUCCGCGUGUAGCAGUGAAAUGCGUAGAUAUGCGGAGGAACACCGAUGGCGAAGGCAAUCCCCUGGGCCUGUACUGACGCUCAUGCACGAAAGCGUGGGGAGCAAACAGGAUUAGAUACCCCCGUAGUCCCUGUCUCUUAUACA
rnacentral:rRNA from 1 species